UGGGGAAUAUUGCACAAUGGGCGCAAGCCUGAUGCAGCCAUGCCGCGUGUGUGAAGAAGGCCUUCGGGUUGUAAAGCACUUUCAGCGAGGAGGAAGGUGGUGAACUUAAUACGUUCAUCAAUUGACGUUACUCGCAGAAGAAGCACCGGCUAACUCCGUGCCAGCAGCCGCGGUAAUACGGAGGGUGCAAGCGUUAAUCGGAAUUACUGGGCGUAAAGCGCACGCAGGCGGUUUGUUAAGUCAGAUGUGAAAUCCCCGGGCUCAACCUGGGAACUGCAUUUGAAACUGGCAAGCUAGAGUCUCGUAGAGGGGGGUAGAAUUCCAGGUGUAGCGGUGAAAUGCGUAGAGAUCUGGAGGAAUACCGGUGGCGAAGGCGGCCCCCUGGACGAAGACUGACGCUCAGGUGCGAAAGCGUGGGGCAGCAAACAGGAUUAGAUACCCUGGUAGUCCACGCUGUAAACGAUGUCGAUUUGGAGGUUGUGCCCUUGAGGCGUGGCUUCCGGAGCUAACGCGUUAAAUCGACCGCCUGGGGAGUACGGCCGCAAGGUUAAAACUCAAAUGAAUUGCGGGUCUAGCUG
rnacentral:rRNA from 1 species